UGAAGCUAUGUUGACAUCUGUGCUCAGAGAAGCUAUGUUGACAUAUGUAAUCAGAGAUCAUGAUGGAGUCUAUUGUUCCUAUUGCUGAUGGAGACCCUGGUGAUGUCUAUGAUCUAUGCAGCUUCCAGAGGUCAUGCUGGAUUCCAAGGUCCAUAUUGAUACUUGAGGUCAUAUUGAGGUAAGUGCUCUUAUGUGGCACUGGAGAUCAGAUUGAUGUCUGAGAUCCUACCUGCCACAGGAAAUUCUGUUGAUGUCCCUGGUGCAUGCAUGUUGCAUCCACUGCCAUCCAUAAACUGUACAAUAUUCUUACUACCACCACUACCACCAGAAUAGCUAGUGAUGGUGAUCUUGUCACUGGAGAAGAGGUUUAUGACCAUAAUUUGUUCUGCCUAUACAUAUACAUAUGCAUAUGCAUAUGCACAUGCACAUGCACAUGCACCUGCACAUGCACAUACACUUACACACACACACACACACACACACACACACACACACACACAUACAUAUACAUAUACAUAUAUACAUAUACACAUACACUUACACUUACACAUACACUUACAUAUACAUACAUACAUAUAUAUUCAUACAUACAUACAUACAUACAUACAUACACACACACAUUAUAUAUAUCUUGCAGUUGACAUCAUGGUAAUGCCCAUGAUCAUUGUUUCCAAUGGCAACCUUAUUGUCAGUGAUCCCAUCUGCCACUGGGAACCAUGUUAAUGUCACUGAUGCACAGGGACUGCAGAAACGUGCAUGAUGUGAAUCCUACAUGCUGCCUGUAGUAGCCGUGUUAUAAUCCAUAGUCAGUGUUGCUCCUGGAGACACUUGUGCAUGUUAAGAAUUCCUGAGACCAUCAGAAUCUACAAUGAAGUUCAGGCCAUAGUGCUGUCUUGGGUCGCGCUGAGUUACAUGUUCUGAGAUAUGCUGAAAGUCAUAUAUAGAGUGGCAUCAGAUACCACUGUAUGUCCAUAUUUGAGGCGUCUGGUAGCCAAUGUCAGUGAUCCCUGCUGACUCUUGUGGCCACAUUAAUAUGACUCUCAUUCACUGACAAUGGACUCUCUACUGAUGUCUGUUAUCUCUGUUUCUAAGAAGCUUAUUGCAUUCAUAAGCAGUUUAAUGUAAGGAUGCAUCCUGCAACCAGAAAAGAGUCUUUUCUACAUGGUCAUACCUGCCCUCUGAAAGGAGUUUGAUGUCCCUUGUACUUCCUGGGAAUGGAAACCAUGUUAUAUCACAGACCCCUGAUGCCACAGACAAACAGAUCAGGAGUUAUCCCUACUCCUGCUUUGGAUCAGAUCGAUGACAUCUGUGAUCCCAACGUCCGAGGGAAAUGUAUUGACAUUGCUGAUCCAUGCUGUCACUGGUACCCAUGUUGACAUUCAUGGUCUGUGUGGUCAUCGAAAAGCUACCCGAUGUCUUUGAUAAACAACCAGAGGAAACUAUUGUGAAGUCUGUGGUAAGUAUUGCUUCCUAAGAACAUAAUGAGGUAAGUGUUGUUUGCUGCUACUGGAGAUGGCUUUGAUGCCUGUGAUCCCAGCUGCAACCUGAAUAUAUGUUGAUGUCAGUGCUGUAUGCUGUGACCAGCAAUCGUGAUGGACUCAUUGCCCCUGUUGCUGAUGGAGAUCGUGGUGAUGGCUAUGAUCUCUGUUACGGCUUGAGAAGCUGUUGAAAUCAAGGUUUAUACUGAUGCUGGAGGUCAUGUUGAGGUCAGUGUUCUGAGCUGACACAGUAGAUUGAUUGGAUUGAUGUUUGAGAGUCUAUAUGCUAUAGAAAAUUCUGUUGAUGUCCCUGAUGCAUGCAUUUCACACCUGCUCUCAACCAUGUGAUGUACAGGGUUGUUACUGCUCCAAGAACUGUCCUGUCAAGGAUCAAUCCUGCCACUGGAAAAGAGGUUAAUGACCAAAAUUUAUUCUGCCCCUUUAAUCUAUGCUGACGCCAUUGAUAUAUAGGUGGCAAUAAACACCAUUGUGUUGCCCAAGGUACAUGCUGUCAUUGACCCCCUUGUUGUCAGUGGUCCCUGAUACUACUCAGUAUGUUAAUGUCACUACUUCAAAGUGCCUGCAGAAACUGAUAUCCAUUAACCAUGCUGUCUCCAGUAGUCCUGUUUAAACCCAGAGUCCAUGAUGCUUCUGAUGAGAUUUUUAAUGUCCAGGAUCCCUGGGGCCAGCAGAACAUAAGGUGAAGCUUCAGGUCAUACUGGUCCUCCAGCUCAUGUUGAGUUCCAUGUUCUAUGUCUUAUAGAGGUCACAUAUAUGGUGGCAAAAUGCACCAUUGUAUGUCCAUGGUACUUCAGGCCUCCAAACAGCUAUGAUUUCAGUGGUCCCCGCUGCCUUAUGAGGCAACAUAAAAGAGUGUCUCCAACUGCCAGUGGCAUCUAUACUGAUAUCAGUUAUCCAUCAUUGUUCUGCUCAAUGAGACCUUACUCUUUAUGAGAAGUGUGUUGUCAGCUGUAAAACUUUUGAUGUCCAGGAUCCAUCUAGACACUAGAGUUGAGAUUUCUGAACAUGGUCAUUCCUGCCCUCUGGAAUAUCCUGGUGGCCCUGAUACUUCCUGGCAGCAGACAAGAUGGUGUAUCUCAGAUCCAUGCUGCCAUAGUCAACCAGGUCCUGAGUGAGCCAUACUGCUACUUUGGACCAGUUGAUGACAUCAGAGAUCCCAACUGCCAAGUUAAAUGUAUUGACAUCACUUAUCCACAAUGCAACUAGUAACCAUGUUGAGAUCCCUAGAUAGUUUGGUCUUUGAAGAGUUCCGUGCUGUCUGUGAUCCUGUAGCCAGAAGGGUCUAUUGUGAAGUCCAUGGUCAGUACUGCUCCUAUGGUCAUAAGGAGGUAAGUGCUGUAGGCUGUUACUGGAGAUACCUUUGGCACAUGUGAUCAUAGCUGAAACUUUCUAUGCUGAUCAGUGCUGCGUGAUUUGACCAGUGAUCAGGAUGGAUUCCACUGUUUUCUAUUGCGGAUGGAGACCCCGGUCAUGGCUAUGAUCUCUGCUGAUACUUGAGGACACGCUGAAUUUAUAGGUCCAUAUUGACAGUAGAAACCAUAUUGAGGUACGUGUUCUGAGUUGUCACUGGAGAUCACAUUGAUAUAUGAGAUCCCACCUGCCACUAGAAAUUCCGUUGAUGUCCCUGAUGCAUGCAUGUAGCCCCUGCUUUGGACCAUGAGUUCACUGAUAGAUCCUGAGAAGGAACACCAUUGUUUGUUUAUACCCUCCGAUGCUACAUGCGGCAAUGUUCUCAGUGGUCCUUUCUCCGACUUGGGACAUGAGUGAUUGUAACUCUCAUUGGAACCUAUACUGAUGUUAGUGAUGCAUACAUGUCACCUGUGAGAAUGUUCUUUAUGAGAAGUAUACUCUUAGCUGUAAUAAUUUUGAAGUCCACGAUCCAUCCUGACACUAUAUAUGUGAUUUUUGUUCAUGGUCCUUUCUGACCUCUGAAACUAUCAUGAUGUUCCUGCUAUUUCCUGGCAAUAGAUAUACCAUGGCUUAUCCAAGAUCCCCUAUGCCACAGGCAACCAGGAUUUUAGUGAUCCCUAUUGAAACUUUGGACCAGAAUGUGAUAUUAAUUGUCUUAUUUGCUAAGAGAAAUAUAUUGAUUUUACUCAUACAUUGUACCGUUUGUAACCACAUCGAGAUCUGUAGUCAGUGUUGUCUCUGAAGAGCUUGCUGAUGUGUACGAUGACUCUGCCUAGAAGUGUCAGCUGAAAAGCUCACGGUCAGAACUGCUGCCCAAGGUCAUAACGAGGAAGACCCUGUUGAUGGCAAUGACCUGCGUUUCUCCAUGAGAACAGGCUGAAUAUUAAGGUGCAUAUUGAUGUGCAAGGUUAUAUUGAGACCUGGUUAUAAAUAAUACCCUUGCUGCUGCAAGAAGAGGUUUGAUGUAAUCCAUCCCUCCUGCCACAGAGAAGUGAUUUAUGUCCACAAUUACUUCUGCUCUCCGAGUCUACUCUGAUGUCAGGGGUACACUUGUCAGCAGACACCAUACUACAUCUAGAAUCCCCGCUGCCAAUAGCAACCACCAUAGUAGAGGUUCCAUCCUGCUGUAAGAGAAGAGGUUUCUGUCCACGGACCUGUCCUCUGAAACUGCAUCAAUGUCACUGAUACCUCCUGGAAGCAAAGUGUAUCCAAGAUCACGGCUGCCUUGGACCCACCAGCAACCAUCAUGGUGUCCAUCAUUCCUACCUGAGGUCCUACCUGCCACAGGAAACUAAGGGAGGACUAUGUACAGCCCUUGAUGAAGAAUGUUACUUUUACAUCAAUCAUUCAGGAAUAAUAAAGAAUUCUAUGGCUUAAGUUCAAGAUGGACUAGCCAAAAAGAAAAGACAAGAAGGACAGAAUCAGGGAUGGUUUGAGUCCUGAUUCUCCACUUUCUCAUGGCUUACAACUUUAUUUUCUACACUGCUUGGACCAUUAAUUAUAAUCUUGUUGCUUUUAACUUUUGGACCUUGGAUCUUAUACAGAUUGGUUGCCUUCAAACAGGAUCACUUCCAGCAAGCUGAGCAAUUUACCAUGACAGUUAUUCAUCACUAUGAAGAAAUGCAUUAGGUGCAUAUUCACAUGUCCUUUGUGGCUUUAGUCUGAAUGGGAAAGAGUGUGCUAUAGAAUGCAGGUAGUCAAAGAUGGGUAAGAAUGUUCUUGAGCUCCUAUAGACCUAAGACAGAGGAAUACAUCAGUGCAUUGUUUGCACUCCUUGAUGGGUAAUGAGAAGCAAUAUAGACAUGGACCUAAGACAGACAUGGUCUCCUGGCUAGUCUUUACCCUAGGUAGGAUUAUGAAAAUCAAGUAAAUCAUAUCCCCCCCCCCAUUCCAGCUACUGGUACUGCUCAUCUUUAAAAAACAAAAAGGGGGAAUUGUGCCUUUGCCAGCCUUGAGCAGACUGAAUGGACCUUGCUUUCCACACAGGACCUUAACACCUAAGUGAAGUCAUCUGCUUUGUUUACACUUACAACUUCCUACAGGACCUUAACACCUAGGUGAAGUCGGCAACUUUGUUUUUACACUUGCAACUUCCUACAAGAACUUAGAACAGACUGCUCUGCCUAUUUAGCCUGCUUUGCAACAUUAUCCAGCUGAAACAAAGGAUGGGUUAGGUAGGCUUCCUCUAUAUAAACCCAGUGCUGAAUAUUAAACCUUGAACCUUGAUCAG